UCAUCCUAGCUGACCUGAAAUCCGCGUUCUUUCUUCCGACGUGUUCAGGAGGCCCAGAGGGGAAAGAUCCGGUGCUCGGAGAAGGCGGAGGUGAUGCGGCUCCAGGCUUGGACGAACGACGGGUGAAGAGGGAACGUGAGUUCCGAGGAUGACUUUGGUUAGAUCUCUUGCGGGAGAUUUUUUUUUUUUUUAUGUUUGAUGUUUCGGCCUUUAAUGGCCUCAUUUCGUGUUUCGGGACUGGCCGUAUGUGGCUUUGAAUCCCUGCCACUAUGCGGCUUUCUUUUUAUGACAAGAUGAUCAAGUUGUAUUUUUCAUAAGUUUACGUAUGGCGUGGAAGAAGGGUGAUGAGUUAUCGUCUCAUAUUCUUCUUCGUUGUGAAAUGUUUCGUUCGAUAUCUGUUUCGAGAGUUUUUCCGCGAGAUAUCGACUUCGCGGGAUAUCUGAAGAUGUCGAAUAUAAACAUGGAGGCAUGGUUUUGGGAUCUCGUAUCUUUU
rnacentral:lncRNA from 1 species